GGGUUGUGAGGUUAAGCGACUAAGCGUACACGGUGGAUGCCCUGGCAGUCAGAGGCGAUGAAGGACGUGCUAAUCUGCGAUAAGCGUCGGUAAGGUGAUAUGAACCGUUAUAACCGGCGAUUUCCGAAUGGGGAAACCCAGUGUGAUUCGUCACACUAUCAUUAACUGAAUCCAUAGGUUAAUGAGGCGAACCGGGGGAACUGAAACAUCUAAGUACCCCGAGGAAAAGAAAUCAACCGAGAUUCCCCCAGUAGCGGCGAGCGAACGGGGAGCAGCCCAGAGCCUGAAUCAGUGUGUGUGUUAGUGGAAGCGUCUGGAAAGGCGCGCGAUACAGGGUGACAGCCCCGUACACAAAAAUGCACAUGCUGUGAGCUCGAUGAGUAGGGCGGGACACGUGGUAUCCUGUCUGAAUAUGGGGGGACCAUCCUCCAAGGCUAAAUACUCCUGACUGACCGAUAGUGAACCAGUACCGUGAGGGAAAGGCGAAAAGAACCCCGGCGAGGGGAGUGAAAAAGAACCUGAAACCGUGUACGUACAAGCAGUGGGAGCACAGAGCAAUCUGUGUGACUGCGUACCUUUUGUAUAAUGGGUCAGCGACUUAUAUUCUGUAGCAAGGUUAACCGAAUAGGGGAGCCGAAGGGAAACCGAGUCUUAACUGGGCGUUAAGUUGCAGGGUAUAGACCCGAAACCCGGUGAUCUAGCCAUGGGCAGGUUGAAGGUUGGGUAACACUAACUGGAGGACCGAACCGACUAAUGUUGAAAAAUUAGCGGAUGACUUGUGGCUGGGGGUGAAAGGCCAAUCAAACCGGGAGAUAGCUGGUUCUCCCCGAAAGCUAUUUAGGUAGCGCCUCGUGAAUUCAUCUCCGGGGGUAGAGCACUGUUUCGGCAAGGGGGUCAUCCCGACUUACCAACCCGAUGCAAACUGCGAAUACCGGAGAAUGUUAUCACGGGAGACACACGGCGGGUGCUAACGUCCGUCGUGAAGAGGGAAACAACCCAGACCGCCAGCUAAGGUCCCAAAGUCAUGGUUAAGUGGGAAACGAUGUGGGAAGGCCCAGACAGCCAGGAUGUUGGCUUAGAAGCAGCCAUCAUUUAAAGAAAGCGUAAUAGCUCACUGGUCGAGUCGGCCUGCGCGGAAGAUGUAACGGGGCUAAACCAUGCACCGAAGCUGCGGCAGCGACGCUUAUGCGUUGUUGGGUAGGGGAGCGUUCUGUAAGCCUGUGAAGGUGUACUGUGAGGUAUGCUGGAGGUAUCAGAAGUGCGAAUGCUGACAUAAGUAACGAUAAAGCGGGUGAAAAGCCCGCUCGCCGGAAGACCAAGGGUUCCUGUCCAACGUUAAUCGGGGCAGGGUGAGUCGACCCCUAAGGCGAGGCCGAAAGGCGUAGUCGAUGGGAAACAGGUUAAUAUUCCUGUACUUGGUGUUACUGCGAAGGGGGGACGGAGAAGGCUAUGUUGGCCGGGCGACGGUUGUCCCGGUUUAAGCGUGUAGGCUGGUUUUCCAGGCAAAUCCGGAAAAUCAAGGCUGAGGCGUGAUGACGAGGCACUACGGUGCUGAAGCAACAAAUGCCCUGCUUCCAGGAAAAGCCUCUAAGCAUCAGGUAACAUCAAAUCGUACCCCAAACCGACACAGGUGGUCAGGUAGAGAAUACCAAGGCGCUUGAGAGAACUCGGGUGAAGGAACUAGGCAAAAUGGUGCCGUAACUUCGGGAGAAGGCACGCUGAUAUGUAGGUGAAGUCCCUCGCGGAUGGAGCUGAAAUCAGUCGAAGAUACCAGCUGGCUGCAACUGUUUAUUAAAAACACAGCACUGUGCAAACACGAAAGUGGACGUAUACGGUGUGACGCCUGCCCGGUGCCGGAAGGUUAAUUGAUGGGGUCAGCGCAAGCGAAGCUCUUGAUCGAAGCCCCGGUAAACGGCGGCCGUAACUAUAACGGUCCUAAGGUAGCGAAAUUCCUUGUCGGGUAAGUUCCGACCUGCACGAAUGGCGUAAUGAUGGCCAGGCUGUCUCCACCCGAGACUCAGUGAAAUUGAACUCGCUGUGAAGAUGCAGUGUACCCGCGGCAAGACGGAAAGACCCCGUGAACCUUUACUAUAGCUUGACACUGAACAUUGAGCCUUGAUGUGUAGGAUAGGUGGGAGGCUUUGAAGUGUGGACGCCAGUCUGCAUGGAGCCGACCUUGAAAUACCACCCUUUAAUGUUUGAUGUUCUAACGUUGACCCGUAAUCCGGGUUGCGGACAGUGUCUGGUGGGUAGUUUGACUGGGGCGGUCUCCUCCUAAAGAGUAACGGAGGAGCACGAAGGUUGGCUAAUCCUGGUCGGACAUCAGGAGGUUAGUGCAAUGGCAUAAGCCAGCUUGACUGCGAGCGUGACGGCGCGAGCAGGUGCGAAAGCAGGUCAUAGUGAUCCGGUGGUUCUGAAUGGAAGGGCCAUCGCUCAACGGAUAAAAGGUACUCCGGGGAUAACAGGCUGAUACCGCCCAAGAGUUCAUAUCGACGGCGGUGUUUGGCACCUCGAUGUCGGCUCAUCACAUCCUGGGGCUGAAGUAGGUCCCAAGGGUAUGGCUGUUCGCCAUUUAAAGUGGUACGCGAGCUGGGUUUAGAACGUCGUGAGACAGUUCGGUCCCUAUCUGCCGUGGGCGCUGGAGAACUGAGGGGGGCUGCUCCUAGUACGAGAGGACCGGAGUGGACGCAUCACUGGUGUUCGGGUUGUCAUGCCAAUGGCACUGCCCGGUAGCUAAAUGCGGAAGAGAUAAGUGCUGAAAGCAUCUAAGCACGAAACUUGCCCCGAGAUGAGUUCUCCCUGACUCCUUGAGAGUCCUGAAGGAACGUUGAAGACGACGACGUUGAUAGGCCGGAUGUGUAAGCGCAGCGAUGCGUUGAGCUAACCGGUACUAAUGAACCGUGAGGCUUAACCUUACAACGCCGAAGGUGUUU
rnacentral:rRNA from 1 species